GAUGAACGCUGGCGGCGUGCCUAAUACAUGCAAGUCGAGCGAACGGACGAGAAGCUUGCUUCUCUGAUGUUAGCGGCGGACGGGUGAGUAACACGUGGAUAACCUACCUAUAAGACUGGGAUAACUUCGGGAAACCGGAGCUAAUACCGGAUAAUAUUUUGAACCGCAUGGUUCAAAAGUGAAAGACGGUCUUGCUGUCACUUAUAGAUGGAUCCGCGCUGCAUUAGCUAGUUGGUAAGGUAACGGCUUACCAAGGCAACGAUGCAUAGCCGACCUGAGAGGGUGAGCGGCCAGACGGGAAGUGAGAGACGGUCCGGACGCCCACGGGAGGCAGCAGUAGGGAGUCUGCCGUAAUGGGCGAAAGCCUGACAGAGCAACGCAGAGGGAGUGAUGAAGGGCUUCGGAUCGUAAAACUCUGUUAUUAGGGAAGAACAUAUGUGUAAGUAACUGUGCACAGCUAGACGGUACCUUAUCAGAAAGGCACGGCUAACUACGUG
rnacentral:rRNA from 1 species